rnacentral:rRNA from 1 species
AACGUAGGUGGCGAGCGUUAUUCGGAAUUAUUGGGCGUAAAGGGCGCGUAGGCGGCCAUGCGUGUCUUCCGUGAAAUCCCUCGGCUUAACUGAGGACGUGCGGAAGAAACUGCAAGGCUCGAGUCCGGGAGAGGGGGGUGGAAUUCCCAGUGUAGCGGUGAAAUGCGUAGAUAUCGGGAGGAACACCUGUGGCGAAAGCGGCGCACUGGACCACAUCUGACGCUGAGGCGCGAAGGCUAGGGGAGCAAACAGG